CAAUGGAAAUUGGCCGCCAUUUUCGAUCAAUGUCGCCUGCGAGGUUACGGCGGUUCUGCGUGAUCCUCGGCUAGGCUGGUGCCUUCUGCUAUAAAAUUAUAGGCUACUCGGCGUCUGAUUGCAGCGGAAAUAGCAAACAGUGCAACUAUUGAAGCUAUCAGCAGAUGCCGAGAGAAGAAACAAAUGGGAAAAUAUUUCUAGAGGCUGGAAAUCCGGCCCAGGCAGUUCGUUGUGUGAGACUCAUUUUUGAAAAAUAUCAAUUUGAACCGAAGAGGACGGAUAAAUGGAAAAAAAUAAAAUGGGAUAUAGACAAUAUCCGAUGAGCCAAAUUCACCAAAAAAUUCAAAUCAUCAAAAGCUGAAUUAGCUAAUAUAUUGACUGAGAUGAAAUUUCAAAAAAGAGCAAUAAGCCUACAGUUUGAUCAAAACAUCCUACUCCAGGUGCCACCAGGACAAACCAGUUGUGCCAGAAGCCUAUAAUGUUGGGUCAUAUACAGCACAAGAGUGUGAGACUGCUGCUUAAGCCUCAAGAUUGACUUCAGAAGUACUAUGGCUACUGUUUAUGCAUAUGAUGUAUUGAAGACUGUAGAGGACGCGCUUCGAUGGUUACUACUUUGCGCACAGUGAGUGGACUGUUGCAUGUAUCCAGAACCACAUUACACUGUGUAACACACAUUUUGUUACUGGCUUCUGAUUAUUAUUUUCUGAAAACAGCACGCAACCACAUAAGAAAAUUUGGAUUUUGAUUUUUUGAAUAUUGGGGGGAGUAUUUCACCCAAAUUGUUUUUUGGGGUAUAUAAAACAACAUGAAACUUUCAUUGUAACACAGGUGUGCUAUUUUUUGUGUUUUUAUUUAUCCAAAUUAUUACAAACCUAUUAUAAAUAACUUUUUAGCAACUUGAAAUUGAACAUAAAAACACAGAUUAUUUGUUAAAGUCAAUUUCACGAAUAAGCACUCAUAUGUAGUCACCAUCGCUUGGCUGACAUGGGCAGUCACACGACCUUGUAAUGGAACUAAGAUAAGGAAAGUUGGAAUAAAAAUUGGGCCUAGCUUUAACCUGGUACACAUACUCCCCCUUUUUUUUUUAAAACACACACAUGCUUAACAUCGCUUUUAUCUAAGAAUCCCCCCAUUUUGUUCAGAAAUUUAUUGUUAGAAUAUUAUCGUAAUUGUUUUUGCCACUGGUCAUCUCUACCAAAACAAUUUGAUUUGCUGUAGCUAUUUUAUUGAUGAGUGUAUUUUUUGGUUGACAAAGUAAUAAAAUCUCUCUUUCGUUGUA